AGACUGCAGGCUGCAACCCGCCUGCACGAAGUCGGAAUGCUAGUAAUCGUAGGUCAGCAUACUACGGUGAAUACGUUCCCGGGCCUUGUACACACCGCCCGUCAAACCAUGAGAGUUGGCAACACCCGAAGUCGGUAGUCUAACCGCAAGGAGGACGCCGCCGAAGGUGGGGUUGAUGAUUAGGGUUAAGUCGUAACAAGGUAGC
rnacentral:rRNA from 1 species